AUUGAACGCUGGCGGCAGGCCUAACACAUGCAAGUCGAGCGGAUGAGAAGAGCUUGCUCUUCGAGUUAGCGGCGGACGGGUGAGUAAUGCCUAGGAAUCUGCCUGGUAGUGGGGGACAACGUUUCGAAAGGAACGCUAAUACCGCAUACGUCCUACGGGAGAAAGCAGGAGACCUUCGGGCCUUGCGCUAUCAGAUGAGCCUAGGUCGGAUUAGCUAGUUGGUGAGGUAAUGGCUCACCAAGGCGACGAUCCGUAACUGGUCUGAGAGGAUGAUCAGUCACACUGGAACUGAGACACGGUCCAGACUCCUACGGGAGGCAGCAGUGGGGAAUAUUGGACAAUGGGCGAAAGCCUGAUCCAGCCAUGCCGCGUGUGUGAAGAAGGUCUUCGGAUUGUAAAGCACUUUAAGUUGGGAGGAAGGGCAGUAAGCGAAUACCUUGCUGUUUUGACGUUACCAACAGAAUAAGCACCGGCUAACUCUGUGCCAGCAGCCGCCGUAACAC
rnacentral:rRNA from 1 species